rnacentral:lncRNA from 1 species
GUUGUGCCAAUCUGUGGCAAUCCACCGCAAAGACAAAAUUUGAAGGCAAUUUGCUAGAAUCUGCUGAUGUUUGUAUAAAUUUUCUUCAGAUUUAUUUCGCUUAUUUUGUAUUAGUUUUCUUCGGAUUUAUUUUGCUUGUUUUGUAUGAAUUUUCUUUAGAGUUGUUGGGUAUUUUUAAUAGUUUUAAAACUUGUGAGUAUAAAUCUCAUUUUAUGUUUUGUUUUUCAAAAAAAAAAAGUGAAAUAUGUUUUGAAAAAUUAUGUCUAAACAGAUUUUCAUCUUCAAAUCGAACUUCACCCAAAUCAAAAUUUUAAAAUAAAUUUAAAAAUCUAUGACCAAACGCUAGCUUAGUAUUCCUUCAUUUCUAGAGAAAGAGGAAAAAAAAGUUAGGUACUGCUAAAUGUCAUAAUAAUUAAGUAAUUAACUAGAGGCUGAUCCCUUAACACCAACGGAUCUUUGCCUAACUUUCUUUAUUCUAUUGUUGGAAACUUGGAGGCAACCAAAGUACCUAACUCUUGAAUCUAGAGAAUUUUUUUUUCCACCUCAGACACAUAUUUUGCAGAAAAAAUAGUAGUGGUAAUAAUUAAAAUCUGUAACUGCCAAUUAUUUAGUUUUCCAUUUUCCCCCAGGCAGGCUAUGGGUUGGCGCCUUUUGGUACUUAGACAAAGUUAUGCCGGAUUAUAAUUCAACGAUUGUCUUUUUUUGGUUUCUCAUUCGGUGUUUGGUAUCCGCAUUGGAACCCGACUAUAUUCGGAUUCACGCCGGAUAGGAUUCCAUUCGGAGGUGUAGCGCUCUCUACCAAGGAUUUUUCCAUACUCAGAUUCGAACCCAAGACUUCUGGUAAAGGGAGGAGCAUCCACUGCACCACAUCCUUUGGUGGUAUAACUCAACAAUUGUCAUACCAGGAUUAAGAUCUUAGAUUUUUUUUGGUAAUGACGGUGAAAAAUUACCAUUAACAAAAACAAAACAAUACACAAGCACAUAAGAAACCAAUUUGGCUUCUCAGGCCCCUGACGAGCUAAUUACAUAAUCUUCUAAUAAGUAAACUGCAUCUAUGGGCUUUCUUUGAUUCUCAUAGCAUAUCUAUUCUCUCUGCGAUCUCUCUUUGUAUUUGUGCAAUUACACAAUAAGAAAUCUUAUAUUAUUAAGUGCAUUUUUUUCGAAUUUUUGGUUCAUUGCAUCGAAAAUGGGAUAUAUGAUGUAUAACAAAAGCAUGUGUUUGGUUUUAAGUAAUUGGAUAAAAUUAUGUUUACAAUUUUACCCUUAUUUUAAAGUAACUAAGAAAG